AGUUGAAAUGUUCUACUUAGAACUUGGAAAUUUCCAGUUCUGAAUUCCUACUUCAGAUGGAAUGCAGUAUAAGGAUUCACAUUAGAGCUCGACCCAACCUGCCCCAUACACUGUCAUUUUGAGCCAAAGCCCGAAUUAAACCUGACAUUUUUUGACCAACCCACUCGUUAGGACUCCCCCUAUCACUAGUAAUGCCCCAACACACCAGCAGGAUGAAGACUAGCACACUCUUUCUCCGAUACAUGUGAAGUCAGCCACCGCUUCUUUUCGAGCUGCUGCUGAUGCAGCAUUGCCAAGCAGCCAGCACAUUUGGAGGAAAGCGCAGCGGCAGGUGAACCCGAGGAACCUGAGGAAAGUGGUGGGAAAUCUCGAGCCAGUGACAUGUUGAACUACACUGCCAGUUUGAGGGAAUGUCAUUGCCAUCCACUGCAAAGGAGGCAAAGGGCGCACGGGUACGAUGGUGUGUACAUGGUUGAUUGACAGCGUUUAGUUUGAGAGUGCGCAGGUGUGGGAAAGGGCAAUGGCAGUGAUCUGAAGGUGCGGAUCAUAGUGAAAAGAGAGCAGGUGUUCCAGUGUGUCUGUGCCACGCAGACGAACUGUAGGCUGUUCCCAGAUACUGAAAACAAUGCCGUGGUGAUCAGCUUUCAGGAAGGGCCAGUGGUUUGUGGUGAUGUUAAGGUCAUGUUUGAAUCCAGGGCUGGUCUUCCAAAGGGGUAUGAGGACUAUCCUUUCUAUUUCUGGUUCAACACUUCAUUUGUAGAGAACAACAGGCUCUAUCUGUCAAGGGAGGAACUGGACAACCCACGUAAGUCCAAAACCUGGGACAUCUACAAGGAGGACUUUGGUGUGACCGUGUCUUUCAGUGACCCUGCACUUAUGUAGCAGACGACACUUGCUUGUGUAUCUCAACUAAAACCCUUAAGCCCUGCACAAGGUCUAAAUCUUUGCUCUAAUGUAGGUUUUCACACACUUAUAAAAGGUGAGUGAUGUUUAGGGAUUGGAUUCGGGCAUAUUGUGCCCCUAAAGCUAUAGCUAUAGCUAUAUAACCUCAACUUUAUGUCCAUCCCCCAUCUUCACUGUAGGAGCUUUUUACUGAGCCGUGCAUACACCACAAUAUUAUGCAUUUGUUUGUCAAAUGUUUUUUGUCUUUAAAUGAAGACAAAUGUUUGUGUCAGUUUAGCAUAUUAAGCCUCCAAAAUGUAAAUCUUACUCUUUAAGCUUGAGUGUACAUCAAAUAAAGCAAUCGAGGCUGCCACUGUGAAAUGGUCAAUGGUUAUGUGUGCAGAAACAUGUUUUUGUAGUACACAUGUAUUGAAAUAAAUACUAAUGUCUCUGUAA